rnacentral:rRNA from 1 species
GGACUACAAGGGUAUCUAAUCCCAUUCGCUCCCCUGGCUUUCGUUCCUCAGUGUCAGUUAUGGCCCAGCGAGUCGCUUACGCCACCGGUGUUCUUCCCAAUAUCUACGCAUUUCACCGCUACACUGGGAAUUCCACUCGCCUCUACCAUACUCAAGUCUGCCAGUAUCCAAUGCAUUUCCGAGGUUGAGCCCCAGUCUUUAACAUCAGACUUAACAAACCACCUACGAACUCUUUACGCCCAAUAAAUCCGGACAACGCUCGCAUCCUACGUCUUACCGCGGCUGCUGGCAC